rnacentral:lncRNA from 1 species
UCAGAGUCUCAGUCUUUCAGAUAACACCCACUUAUCAUAGUUCUCUCUUGUCUCCUUCCAUAUAUCACACUCUCGGUCUCUCUCUUCUCCAUCACCAUAGACAUCGAUCGACAUCAUCUCUUUAAUGGAUAAUGCAUUACAACAUUGCAUUCAGGACUGAAAAAUACUUUUAUUUUUAUUAAAAAAUAUGAUUCGUUGUUGGGAUGGGGAUGAGGCAGGGAUACCAAAAUUCGAC